UACGUAGGGAGCAAGCGUUGUCCGGAAUUAUUGGGCGUAAAGCGCGCGUAGGCGGCAUUAUAAGUCCGUUGUGAAAGUCAAAGGCUCAACCUUUGAAAGCCGAUGGAUACUGUGAGACUAGAGUACGGAAGAGGCGAGUGGAAUUCCUGGUGUAGCGGUGGAAUGCGCAGAUAUCAGGAGGAACACCAAUAGCGAAGGCAGCUCGCUGGGACGUUACUGACACUGAGGCGCGAAAGCGUGGGGAGCGAACAGG
rnacentral:rRNA from 1 species